rnacentral:tRNA from 1 species
GGGCGACAGCUCAGCUAGGGGAGCGCUUGCCCGGCAUGCUAGAGGUCAGCAGUUCCAUCCCGCUUAAGGUCCACCA